rnacentral:rRNA from 1 species
UACGAAGGUGGCAAGCGUUGUUCGGAAUUACUGGGCGUAAAGCGCGUGUAGGCGGCUCUUCAAGUCAGGCGUGAAAGCCCUGAGCUCAACUCAGGAACUGCGCUUGAUACUGUCGAGCUAGAGUGUGGAAGGGGCAAUCGGAAUUCCGUGUGUAGCGGUGAAAUGCGCAGAUAUACGGAGGAACACCAGAGGCGAAGGCGGAUUGCUGGGCCAACACUGACGCUGAGACGCGAAAGCCGGGGUAGCAAACGGG